rnacentral:rRNA from 1 species
CAUGCAAGUCGAGGGGCAGCAUGGUCUUAGCUUGCUAAGGCUGAUGGCGACCGGCGCACGGGUGAGUAACACGUAUCCAACCUGCCGUCUACUCUUGGCCAGCCUUCUGAAAGGAAGAUUAAUCCAGGAUGGCAUCAUGAGUUCACAUGUCCGCAUGAUUAAAGGUAUUUUCCGGUAGACGAUGGGGAUGCGUUCCAUUAGAUAGUAGGCGGGGUAACGGCCCACCUAGUCAACGAUGGAUAGGGGUUCUGAGAGGAAGGUCCCCCACAUUGGAACUGAGACACGGUCCAAACUCCUACGGGAGGCAGCAGUGAGGAAUAUUGGUCAAUGGGCGAUGGCCUGAACCAGCCAAGUAGCGUGAAGGAUGACUGCCCUAUGGGUUGUAAACUUCUUUUAUAAAGGAAUAAAGUCGGGUAUGCAUACCCGUUUGCAUGUACUUUAUGAAUAAGGAUCGGCUAACUCCGUGCCAGCAGCCGCGGUAAUACGGAGGAUCCGAGCGUUAUCCGGAUUUAUUGGGUUUAAAGGGAGCGUAGAUGGAUGUUUAAGUCAGUUGUGAAAGUUUGCGGCUCAACCGUAAAAUUGCAGUUGAUACUGGAUGUCUUGAGUGCAGUUGAGGCAGGCGGAAUUCGUGGUGUAGCGGUGAAAUGCUUAGAUAUCACGAAGAACUCCGAUUGCGAAGGCAGCCUGCUAAGCUGCAACUGACAUUGAGGCUCGA